GUAACGUAGUCGGUCAGCGUAUCUGUUUCACAAUCUGAAGGUUGUGAGUUCAAAUCUCUCC
rnacentral:tRNA from 1 species